CAACGGUUACAACAAACAAAAGAUAGAAAGAUAGACAAAUGGAGGUAUAAUCUUAAGAACCCAAGAACAUAUGACACUCUUGGAUCCUUAACACUACACACUACAAUCAACAAUCUCUUACAAUUGAUUCAAGAGAGGCAUCCACUACCCAAGGACCAAUGUACCAAGUAAUGCAACACAUAAGUGAUUCCACACUUUUAUAUGGCCCUAGUUACGGUUUUGGGACUCUCUCUAUAACUACGAGGAGGGUUCUCUCAAUAUCAUUAAGAAACUAAAGAAAUAAACCCUACAACAUUCUAUUUAUACUAUAUUACAAUAAUAGAUAAAAUUACAAAAGAGCCCUUUAUUGACUAGUCUACAAAAAUACUCAAAAAGUGUCAUGAUCAUGAUCAUACUUGUAUCACAUUUGGUAGGGCAUCAAUGUACUCCUUCAUGAGUACUGUGGUACUAUUCCUCACCUAGAAAUCAUGCCACUAUAUUUAUAUCAAUUGUAGUAUGUAGAAUAGUGUUCAAUCUUCAAACUUUAGGUAAACUAGAUUUAAGUAAAUGAUCUAGUCAGAGAAUACACUAAUCUAAAAAACCCCAGAUUGAAAAAAUUGAAGUACAAAUUUGAGAGAAAUUUAAAUGCGAAUUCAUUCAGACUUUUUAACACAAAUUGAAAGCUGAAAUUCAAUCUGAC
rnacentral:lncRNA from 1 species